GACGUAGGGUGCAAGCGUUGUCCGGAUUUAUUGGGCGUAAAGAGCUCGUAGGCGGCUCGUCGCGUCGACCGUGAAAACCCGCGGCUCAACCGCGGGCCUGCAGCCGAUACGGGCAGGCUAGAGUUCGGUAGGGGAGACUGGAAUUCCUGGUGUAGCGGUGAAAUGCGUAGAUAUCUGGAGGAACACCGGUGGCGAAGGCGGCAUCCUGGACCAACACUGACGCUGAGUGAGCGAAAGCCAGGGGAGCAAACGGG
rnacentral:rRNA from 1 species